GACGAACGCUGGCGGCGUGCUUAACACAUGCAAGUCGAACGAAGUGGCGAACGGGUGAGUAACGCGUAAUCAACCUGCCCUUCAGUGGGGGACAACAGUUGGAAACGACUGCUAAUACCGCAUACUGAAGGAGGGGAUUGCGUCUGCUUAGCUAGUUGGGGGGGUAACGGCCCACCAAGGCGAUGAUCAGUAGUCGGUCUGAGAGGGUGAACGGCCACAUGGGGACUGAGACACGGCCCAGAAUAAGACGGGAGGCAGCAGUGGGGAAUAUUACGUAAUGGACGAAAGUCUGACGGGGCAACGCCGCGAGAGUGAGGAGGGCCUUCGGGUUGGAAAGCUCUGUUAAUCGGGACGCGGUACCGGAAUAGAAAGCCACGGCGAACUACGUGCCAGCAGCCGCGGUAAUUC
rnacentral:rRNA from 1 species